AGUGAACGCUGGCGGUAGGCCUAACACAUACAAGUCGAACGGCAGCACAGUAAGAGCUUGCUCUUACGGGUGGCGAGUGGCGGACGGGUGAGGAAUACAUCGGAAUCUACUUUUUCGUGGGGGAUAACGUAGGGAAACUUACGCUAAUACCGCAUACGACCUACGGGUGAAAGCAGGGGAUCUUCGGACCUUGCGCGAUUGAAUGAGCCGAUGUCGGAUUAGCUAGUUGGCGGGGUAAAGGCCCACCAAGGCGACGAUCCGUAGCUGGUCUGAGAGGAUGAUCAGCCACACUGGAACUGAGACACGGUCCAGACUCCUACGGGAGGCAGCAGUGGGGAAUAUUGGACAAUGGGCGCAAGCCUGAUCCAGCCAUACCGCGUGGGUGAAGAAGGCCUUCGGGUUGUAAAGCCCUUUUGUUGGGAAAGAAAAGCAGCAGGUUAAUACCCCGCUGUUCUGACGGUACCCAAAGAAUAAGCACCGGCUAACUUCGCG
rnacentral:rRNA from 1 species